rfam:Triticum aestivum genome assembly, contig: Triticum_aestivum_CS42_TGACv1_scaffold_527685_6DL
AUUGUACUCCCACCGUUCCAAAUUAGUUGACUUGGAUUUAUCUAGAUACGGAUGUAUCUGACACUAAAACAUGUCUAGAUAUAUCCGUAUCUAGACAAAUCUGAGUCAACUAAUUGGCAACGGAAGGAGUAGUAG